rnacentral:rRNA from 1 species
AGUUCGGAUCGCAGGCUGCAACCCGCCUGCGUGAAGUUGGAAUCGCUAGUAAUCGCGGAUCAGCAUGCCGCGGUGAAUACGUUCCCGGGCCUUGUACACACCGCCCGUCACACCAUGAGAGUCGGGAACACCCGAAGUCCGUAGCCUAACCGCAAGGGGGGGCGCGGCCGAAGGUGGGUUCGAUAAUUGGGGUGAAGUCGUAACAAGGUAAC